UCUUGGUAUUGAAACCAAAGGACAGAUAGUCCCUACCGUGUUCUCCUUGGGCUAAGAACACACAGUCCUCGCCCAACACUCGUGGUAAGUCUUCAAGGCAGACUUCCAAACCCUCACAAACUUGGACACCCAGCGAUCCACAAUUGACUGCUGGAAAGCUCUAGACCAUGACGCCUAACCAUCUGGAGGAUGCACAGUCCUC
rnacentral:lncRNA from 1 species